UGUAAGCGUAUACCAAAGUUGUUGCAGUUAAAACGCUCGUAGUCGGAAUUUGGCAGUUCCGGAUGUGUGCACGUCGUGUGCGCACUUCGCGGGGAUUGCUUUUGUGGUCUUGCGUAGGAUGAGGCACUUUUAUUAGUGAACGUCCUCACGCAACCACUUUUUACUGUGAGAAAAUCAGAGUGCUCAAAGCAGGCAUUUGCCGUGAAUGUAUUAGCAUGGAAUAAUAGAAUAGGACUUGGUUCUAUUUUGUUGGUUUGUUGGGACUGAGUAAUGAUUAAGGGGGACAGUUGGGGGCAUUUGUAUUUCGGUGCUAGAGGUGAAAUUCUUAGAUUACCGAAAGACAAACUGCUGCGAAAGCGUCUGCCAAGGAUGUUUUCAUUGA
rnacentral:rRNA from 1 species